UUUUCAGCCGCCGCGGUAACACGUAGGGGACGAGCGUUGUCCGGAUUCAUUGGGCGUAAAGCGCGCGUAGGCGGCUCGGAAAGUCGGUCGUGAAAUGCCGGGGCUCAACCCCGGGACUGCGUCCGAUACUUCCGGGCUGGAGGUAGGUAGGGGAGAUCGGAAUUCCUGGUGUAGCGGUGAAAUGCGCAGAUAUCAGGAGGAACACCGGUGGCGAAGGCGGAUCUCUGGGCCUUACCUGACGCUGAGGCGCGAAAGCUAGGGGAGCGAACAGGAUUAGAUACCCGUGUAGUCC
rnacentral:rRNA from 1 species